rnacentral:tRNA from 3 species
GCCCAGCUGGUGAAACUGGUAGACGCGCAGAGCUCAAAACUCUGUUCCCAAGGGAGUAACGGUUCGAGUCCGUUGCUGGGCACCA